rnacentral:rRNA from 1 species
UACGGGGGGGGGCGAGCGUUGUUCGGAAUCACUGGGCGUAAAGGGCGCGUAGGCGGCCCGCACAAGUCUGCGGUGAAAACCCCCGGCUUAACCGGGGGCCGGCCGUGGAAACUGUCGGGCUAGAGGCCGGGAGAGGGCAGCGGAAUUCCCGGUGUAGCGGUGAAAUUCGUAGAUAUCGGGAGGAACACCAGCGGCGAAGGCGGCGACCUGGGUGGAUACUGACGCUGAGGUGCGAAAGCGUGGGGAGCAAACAGG